rnacentral:rRNA from 1 species
GACGAACGCUGGCGGCAUGCCUAAUACAUGCAAGUCGAGCGAACAGAUGGAGUGCUUGCACUUCUGACGUUAGCGGCGAACGGGUGAGUAACACGUAAGGAAUCUACCUAUAAGCGGGGGAUAACAUUCGGAAACGGGUGCUAAUACCGCAUAAUAUCUUCUUCCGCAUGGAAGAAGAUUGAAAGACGGCUCUGCUGUCACUUAUAGAUGACCUUGCGGUGCAUUAGUUAGUUGGUGGGGUAACGGCCUACCAAGACGACGAUGCAUAGCCGACCUGAGAGGGUGAUCGGCCACAUUGGGACUGAGACACGGCCCAAACUCCUACGGGAGGCAGCAGUAGGGAAUCUUCCGCAAUGGGCGAAAGCCUGACGGAGCAAUGCCGCGUGAGUGAGGAAGGCCUUCGGGUCGUAAAACUCUGUUAUAAGAGAAGAACAAAUUGUAGAGUAACUGCUACAGUCUUGACGGUAUCUUAUCAGAAAGCCACGGCUAACUACGUGCCAGCCGCCGCCGUAA